rnacentral:lncRNA from 1 species
AAAAUCAUUUAUGAUACAAUAUAGUAAUCAUAUAUUACCAAUUGGGUUUUUUAUAAACGGAGCCUGUAUACUUCAUUUUAUUGAUCCAACUAAGCCAACCAUAAAUUAUUUGAUAAUAUUAAUCUAGAUCCCCCCAAAAAUAAAAUGGAUCUAAUUGAAUUUCACGCUCCAAAUUGUUGAUGAUUCAAUCAAUCUUUCUUGGGCGAAACAGAGGAUAUCUCGAUCGAGGU